CUACGAGGACGACGCUGGCGGCGUGCCUAACACGUGCAAGUCGAGCGGGGUCCAUCCGGUAGCAAUACCGGGGAAGACCUAGCGGCGAACGGGUGAGUAACACGUGAGAAACCUGCCCCGAAGUCUGGGAUAACCCGAGGAAACUCGAGCUAAUACCGGAUGUCUUCUUCUGAUCGCAUGGUCGGAUGAAGAAAGAUUUAUCGCUUCGGGAGGGUCUCGCGGCCUAUCAGCUAGUUGGCGGGGUAACGGCCCACCAAGGCGUCGACGGGUAGCUGGUCUGAGAGGACGAUCAGCCACACUGGGACUGAGACACGGCCCAGACUCCUACGGGAGGCAGCAGUGGGGAAUAUUGCGCAAUGGGCGAAAGCCUGACGCAGCAACGCCGCGUGCGGGAUGAAGGCCUUCGGGUUGUAAACCGCUUUCAGUGGGGACGAAUUCAGACGGUACCCACAGAAGAAGCCCCGGCCAACUACGUG
rnacentral:rRNA from 1 species